rnacentral:rRNA from 1 species
GAUGAACGCUGGCGGCGUGCCUAAUACAUGCAAGUCGAGCGAACAGACGAGGAGCUUGCUCCUCUGACGUUAGCGGCGGACGGGUGAGUAACACGUGGAUAACCUACCUAUAAGACUGGGAUAACUUCGGGAAACCGGAGCUAAUACCGGAUAAUAUAUUGAACCGCAUGGUUCAAUAGUGAAAGACGGUUUUGCUGUCACUUAUAGAUGGAUCCGCGCCGCAUUAGCUAGUUGGUAAGGUAACGGCUUACCAAGGCAACGAUGCGUAGCCGACCUGAGAGGGUGAUCGGCCACACUGGAACUGAGACACGGACCAGACUCCUACGGGAGGCAGCAGGAGGGAAUCUUCCGCAAUGGGCGAAAGCCUGACGGAGCAACGCCGCGUGAGUGAUGAAGGUCUUCGGAUCGUAAAACUCUGUUAUUAGGGAAGAACAAAUGUGUAAGUAACUAUGCACGUCUUGACGGUACCUAAUCAGAAAGCCACGGCUAACUACGUG